AACGAACGCUGGCGGCAUGCCUAACACAUGCAAGUCGAACGAGACCUUCGGGUCUAGUGGCGCACGGGUGCGUAACGCGUGGGAACCUGCCCUUAGGUUCGGAAUAACUCCCCGAAAGGGGUGCUAAUACCGGAUAAUGUCUUCGGACCAAAGAUUUAUCGCCUUUGGAUGGGCCCGCGUUGGAUUAGCUAGUUGGUAGGGUAAAAGCCUACCAAGGCGACGAUCCAUAGCUGGUCUGAGAGGAUGAUCAGCCACACUGGGACUGAGACACGGCCCAGACUCCUACGGGAGGCAGCAGUGGGGAAUAUUGGACAAUGGGCGAAAGCCUGAUCCAGCAAUGCCGCGUGAGUGAUGAAGGCCUUAGGGUUGUAAAGCUCUUUUACCCGGGAUGAUAAUGACAGUACCGGGUGAAUAAGCUCUGGCUAACUCCGUG
rnacentral:rRNA from 1 species